CAUAACUGAUAUCUCCCUCUUCACCUGCUCCGUCAUCCCCACUUUUAUCACCUUAUCCUUACCCACCACUUUCAUCGCUACACUCUUCCCUGUCUGCAAGUUCCGGGCAUGAUACACCUUGGCGAAGGUGCCGUGACCCAGAAGCCGUCCCAGCUCGUAUUUACCGUGAAGCAAAGACGGGCACGAAUCUUUACCCGAAUCCGCCAUUGUUUAUACACAAGAAACAACUAAAUCAAACAAAAUGAAAUUGACAAUAUUACAAUACUAUCGACUCUAGCCGGAGCGAUGCAACUACCCGUCUUCAACGUGUUUCCGAUGACAGUUCCUACCGCCGACGGGCCUUUUGGCCCAUCGCUCAGGAUUUGAUAGCGUAACUCUCCUCAUCUCUCAGCAUUCCCAGAGAGACUCAAGGCUCUCUUCACAAAAUAUAACUUGAUUAAAUUUCUAGGCUUCUGCAGAUUCAGUUGCCGCAGUUUGGCCUCUUCCCCUCU
rnacentral:lncRNA from 1 species